rnacentral:ncRNA from 15 species
CUGGUAUCCGGCGACGGGGCUCGCCGCCGACCGCACCGACGCGGUGCCGAUGGCCUCUACCCGCUG